rnacentral:rRNA from 1 species
AGUGAACGCUGGCGGUAGGCCUAACACAUGCAAGUCGAACGGCAGCACAGUAAGAGCUUGCUCUUACGGGUGGCGAGUGGCGGACGGGUGAGGAAUACAUCGGAAUCUACUUUUUCGUGGGGGAUAACGUAGGGAAACUUACGCUAAUACCGCAUACGACCUACGUGUGAAAGCAGGGGAUCUUCGGACCUUGCGCGAUUGAAUGAGCCGAUGUCGGAUUAGCUAGUUGGCGGUGUAAAGGCCCACCAAGGCGACGAUCCGUAGCUGGUCUGAGAGGAUGAUCAGCCACACUGGAACUGAGACACGGUCCAGACUCCUACGGGAGGCAGCAGUGGGGAAUAUUGGACAAUGGGCGCAAGCCUGAUCCAGCCAUACCGCGUGGGUGAAGAAGGCCUUCGGGUUGUAGAGCCCUUUUGUUGGGAAAGAAAAGCAGCAGGUUAAUACCCCGCUGUUCUGACGGUACCCAAAGAAUAAGCACCGGCUAACUUCGUG